rnacentral:rRNA from 1 species
UGUUGACCUCGGAUCAGGUAGGAAUACCCGCUGAACUUAAGCAUAUCAAUAANNCGGAGGA